GCCCGGGUGGUGGAACAGGUAGACACAGCAGACUUAAAAUCUGCCGCCCCGAAACGGGCGUACCGGUUCGAUUCCGGUUCCGGGCACCA
rnacentral:tRNA from 1 species